UACGGAAGGGGCAAGCGUUGUUCGGAAUCAUUGGGCGUAAAGGGCGCGUAGGUGGUCUUGUAUGUCUACCGUGAAAUCCCUCGGCUUAACCGAGGAAGUGCAUUCGAAACUGGCAGUCUUGAGUACGGGAGAGGGUCGCGGAAUUCCCGGUGUAGAGGUGAAAUGCGUAGAGAUCGGGAGGAACACCGGCGGCGAAGGCGGCUCACUGGCUCAUUACUGACGCUCAGGCGCGAUAGCGUGGGGAUCAAACAGG
rnacentral:rRNA from 1 species